GGGUUAUUAAAAUGAGAAUUUAAAAGUAUGUUAAGGAUUAUUUCUUAUCCAUGCUCAUUUUUUAUGUGUGUAGAGGGAGACAGAAGUGGAAGGCCUUUCUGCUUUGGGGAUUUGAAAACAGAGUUUUUAACAUUAAAUGUGACUACUUUUUAUAAUAUGGAAGAAUCAUUAUAAAGUUUAUUUUUUCAUAGGAUUUGAAGAGAAUCAACUCAGACCAUCUUGCCUUUCCAGACCGAGCACUGGUUCCAUAUAGCUAACUCUGACCAGCCAUGCCAACCCUUCCUGUGAGGACAAGUUUUAGGGUACACAGCAGUCCAGGUGAGCCCCAUUCUUGCUCACCCCAGGACUCAGCUUGCUGCUCCUCCCUCUCUGCUCAGCGUCCGAGGUCUGCAGGCCAGUUGGGGGCUUACUGACUUGGGCCUACCCACAGCCCUGCCUGCAUCCUUUCACUAUAGUUUCAUUUGGACUCUUGAGCCAAGGUCUCAGUUUGCUGAUUCCACUGCCAACGGCAAACAUUAUCUAUCUUCUGGGUAUGCUGGCAAGGAAACCAUUUUUUUUUUUUUUUAACCUUCGGGGCCAGCCAAAAUCAGAGGCCAGUUAAUCUUCCUGGUGAUCUCAUCUGAGUAUGCUUCUCAUCUGCCCAGAAUGAAGCCUCAUCUGUGCUUGGCUGCAAUGCUGUGAAAGCCCCACCUCAUUCAUCAGCCCCUGAAGGUGACCUGAUAGCCAUUGCUGAGGAUGGUGCUGGGUUGUCCUCUUUUCCCCUGAGUCUCCUGUUAUAUCUGCUCCCACAGAUACUUCACUGAAUCCUUUUUGCCUUUUUGAAGCUUGAUAAUUCCAUGGAUUCCACCUGUCCUAUGCCCUCUCAUGGCUCUCAGGUAGAACCUUCCAGUAUCUCUCCCCAGCACCAGUCCUGCCAUCUUCCUGGAUAAGCUGAAUAUUCAUUUGUCUCAGCCAGUAUGUUAACCUCAAAUUUGUUUACCUCCUCAACUUCAGUUACCUCCGUCUCUCCACCACUUCAGCGUGACUAUGUCUUAUACCUUCUCAAAACUCAGAACUGAAAUGUUAAGCUCCAAACCCCACCCUCUCCUUUUCUUUUCUUUCUUUCUUUUUUUGGAAUAGGGGAUUCAACCCAGGGCAUUUGUACCACUGAGUUUUAUGUCCCUAGCUCCUUUUAUUUAUUUUUUCUA
rnacentral:lncRNA from 1 species